CGGACGGGUGAGUAACGCGUGGGUAACCUGCCUUGUACUGGGGGACAACAGUUAGAAAUGACUGCUAAUACCGCAUAAGCGCACAGUAUCGCAUGAUACAGUGUGAAAAACUCCGGUGGUACAAGAUGGACCCGCGUCUGAUUAGCCAGUUGGUAAGGUAACGGCUUACCAAGGCGACGAUCAGUAGCCGACCUGAGAGGGUGACCGGCCACAUUGGGACUGAGACACGGCCCAA
rnacentral:rRNA from 1 species